CAGCAGCCGCGGGAAUACGUAGGUGGCAAGCGUUGUCCGGAAUUAUUGGGCGUAAAGCGCGCGCGGGUGGUUUAAUAAGUCUGAUGUGAAAGCCCACGGCUCAACCGUGGAGGGUCAUUGGAAACUGUUAAACUUGAGUGCAGGAGAGAGAAGUGGAAUUCCUAGUGUAGCGGUGAAAUGCGUAGAGAUUAGGAGGAACACCAGUGGCGAAGGCGACUUUCUGGACUGCAACUGACACUGAGGCACGAAAGCGUGGGGAGCAAACAGGAUUAGAUACCCCCGUAGUCCCUGUCUCUUAUAC
rnacentral:rRNA from 1 species